UACGAAGGGGGCUAGCGUUGUUCGGAUUUACUGGGCGUAAAGCGCGCGUAGGCGGAUCGUUAAGUCGGGGGUGAAAUCCUGGAGCUCAACUCCAGAACUGCCUUCGAUACUGGCGAUCUCGAGUUCGGGAGAGGUGGAGUGGAACUGCGAGUGUAGAGGUGAAAUUCGUAGAUAUUCGCAAGAACACCAGUGGCGAAGGCGGCUCACUGGCCCGAGUACUGACGCUGAGGCGCGAAGCUAAGGGAGCGACGGGGAUAA
rnacentral:rRNA from 1 species